UACGAAGGGGGCUAGCGUUGUUCGGAUUUACUGGGCGUAAAGCGCACGUAGGCGGAUCGUUAAGUUGGGGGUGAAAUCCUGGAGCUCAACUCCAGAACUGCCUUCAAUACUGGCGAUCUAGAGUCCGGAAGAGGUGAGUGGAACUCCUAGUGUAGAGGUGGAAUUCGUAGAUAUUAGGAAGAACACCAGUGGCGAAGGCGGCUCACUGGUCCGGUACUGACGCUGAGACGCGAAAGCGUGGGGAGCGAACAGG
rnacentral:rRNA from 1 species